rnacentral:lncRNA from 1 species
CAGCGAUAAGGGCAGUCGACAGUCUUUAGUAGGGAAAGGAGACAAGUGCUAGCUACUGCCGCCCAAGUGGAAGGUGGGAUUGUUCCUCCAGCAGCUCAACAGCUUCACAGAGAAAAUAUUCAACGAAUAGUACAAGAAGCUCUUUCUGCCAGUGGAGUCUCUCCAAGUGACCUCUCAGCAAUUGCAACUACCAUAAAACCAGGACUUGCUUUAAGCCUGGGAGUGGGCUUAUCAUUUAGCUUACAGCUGGUAGGACAGUUAAAAAAGCCAUUCAUUCCCAUUCAUCAUAUGGAGGCUCAUGCACUUACUAUUAGGUUGACCAAUAAAGUAGAAUUUCCUUUUUUAGUUCUUUUGAUUUCUGGAGGUCACUGUCUGUUGGCAUUAGUUCAAGGAGUUUCAGAUUUUCUGCUUCUUGGAAAGUCUUUGGACAUAGCACCAGGUGACAUGCUUGACAAGGUGGCAAGAAGACUUUCUUUAAUAAAACAUCCAGAGUGCUCCACCAUGAGUGGUGGGAAAGCCAUAGAACAUUUGGCCAAACAAGGAAAUAGAUUUCAUUUUGACAUCAAACCUCCCUUGCAUCAUGCUAAAAAUUGUGAUUUUUCUUUUACUGGACUUCAACACGUUACUGAUAAAAUAAUAAUGAAAAAGGAAAAAGAGGAAGGUAUUGAGAAGGGGCAAAUCCUGUCUUCAGCAGCAGACAUUGCUGCCACAGUACAGCACACAAUGGCAUGUCAUCUUGUGAAAAGAACACAUCGGGCUAUUCUGUUUUGUAAGCAGAGAGACUUGUUACCUCAAAAUAAUGCAGUACUGGUUGCAUCUGGUGGUGUCGCAAGUAACUUCUAUAUCCGCAGAGCUCUGGAAAUUUUAACAAAUGCAACACAGUGCACUUUGUUGUGUCCUCCUCCCAGACUAUGCACUGAUAAUGGCAUUAUGAUUGCAUGGAAUGGUAUUGAAAGACUACGUGCUGGCUUGGGCAUUUUACAUGACAUAGAAGGCAUCCGCUAUGAACCAAAAUGUCCUCUUGGAGUAGACAUAUCAAAAGAAGUUGGAGAAGCUUCCAUAAAAGUACCACAAUUAAAAAUGGAGAUAUGAUUUCUGCUGUUCAAAAAAGUCCCUAAAGACAGGGUCUCACUCUCUGACCUCAGCUGGAGUACAGUAGCCAGAUCACAACUCACUGCAACCCUGACUUCCUGAACUCAAGCAAUCCUCCUGCCUUAGCCUCUUGAAUAGCCGGGACUACAGGUGUGCAUGUCCAUGCCCAGCCAACUUUAUUUCUAUUUUUUGUAGAGACAGGCUCUUGCCAUGUUGCCCGGGCUGGUCCUGAACUGCUGAAUUCAAGUGAUCCUCCCACCUUGGCCUCCAGAAGUGCUGGGAUUAUGGGUGUGAGCCACCAUGCCUAGCCAAAAUGUUUCUUAAGGUAUACAUUUUGGGUCUUAGAAGACUUAUACAUUUGUAAUAUUUAUUACUAAAUAUCUCAAAGUAUUACAAUAAAUGUUACCAUGUGAGCUACUUUGAAUCAGGCUUCUUGCACACCAAUUUAAAAAUGUUAACUCUUGAUAUAUACACUAGUUAUACCACUCAUGUCAGUCAAUAAAUUUUAAGGUUUAAGUGCAGGCCUUUGUUUACAGAAAUCCUAAUUUUUUGAAACCAUAACUCUGACCUGACACUAAAUUCCUGUAGACAUGCUAAGGAAAAUCUGCUUAGUAUCGAGAUCAAGAACUUUCAUUCAAAAAGAUUAUUCAGUUAUGUUAUUUGCAUAUUACCAUUAUU